rnacentral:piRNA from 1 species
UCCUUAAAGCGUUGCCCACAAAACUGAGAA